rnacentral:lncRNA from 1 species
GUGUAUGAGUGUGUAUUUUUAUUUUCCAUCUAGUAGUGGGUCCUUGCCAACUAUUCGCUUUAAUAGCACAGGAAUAGUUCCCACUGUAGUUCAUUACACCGUUAGGAUCCUCGUUUAAUGCCUCAUAAGCAGAAGUAACAGCAGAAAAAAAUAAAAUAAAAUAAAAAAGAAGUAACAGCAGAAGUAAUAGUAAGUUAUAGCAGUAACAGUUAAUAUCACUUUGCAUCUAAGGACAAAUUAUCUUUAUUCUUUCAUCAAACAAACAAAAAAUACUUAAUCCAAUGUUUCCUUUUAUUUCCUGCCCUAUUAGGACAUUUUGACUAAACUUAGCACUUGAGAGAAGUAAUUAGGCCAGUGCCUAUUUCAGAAAAACAAUGGGUGUAGAUUCAUGAAAUCAAAUCUACUAGAAAGUAAGCCAAUUAAAAGAGAAAACUAAAACAAUUAAAAGCGGUGGAAAGAAAAGUGCCACCAGCAGAAGAAUAUCUUAAUUACUGCUCCCGAGUGCUAAGUUUAGUGAGAUCCUUGAUAAUAAAUGAUUAUAACAGAUAUGAGUGGGAAUUCUUCUUGACUCCUGUCACUCCACAGCUCUCCAUGUGAAUGGGAUGAACUGACUGGCCGUGCCGGGGGGCACCUUCCUCAAAGUUUAAUUCCAUCCUACUCAAAGAAGAAAGCAUUUCCAAAGACAGGAGAUUCUGUUUUUCCAUCAAGAGUAUUGAGCAGCUAGAAAUUCCAAGUAAGUUCUUGAGGUCCACUUGGAGACCUUAACAGAGUGAAGCAUCCGUAUAACAGGAAAGGAAACACAUGGUUGUAGGUGACCUGAUUAAGAGAAUCACGAAAUCCACAGCAGGUGAGAGUUGCAGAGGUCUGUAGAAGUCAUCAGUUUCGACACCCCCAUUUUACAAAAGACAAAAGAGACUUGGAUGGGGCUGUCUCCGCCCUCACGUUGGUCACCAGUAGCACUGUGGCGAGAAUCCAGCCUGGAUAACUCAUACGACAACUAGCACAGGGCCUGGCUUAUGGGGCGAAAUACACGAAUGUUAUUUUCAAUCCCUUGUCCUGCCCCAGUGACCUUGCUAUGUGGCGAGAGAACCAAUCAGUGGAAAUACAUUAAUGCCGUUGUCUUGGGACGGGCCUGUGUGACUACAGCUCAGUGGAUGUUUAGACAUUAGUAUCAAAAGGAAAGUAUGCCCAAAUGAGUGAUUAGUCACCCUGCAGUCUUGACCUGAAUAGCAAAUUAGGCUCCGGGCAGGGAUUAAGACGCUGACACCUGUGCCCUCCAGGCCCUCAAUUGUGCUGAUUGCUGUUCACUUGCGGCCCCCCCCC